CCUACGGGAGGCUGCAGUGGGGAAUAUUGGACAAUGGGCGAAAGCCUGAUCCAGCCAUGCCGCGUGUGUGAAGAAGGCCUUCGGGUUGUAAAGCACUUUCAGUGGGGAAGAAAGCCUUGGGGCUAAUACCCUCGAGGAAGGACAUCACCCACAGAAGAAGCACCGGCUAACUCCGUGCCAGCAGCCGCGGUAAUACGGAGGGUGCGAGCGUUAAUCGGAAUUACUGGGCGUAAAGCGCGCGUAGGCGGUCUGAUAAGCCGGGUGUGAAAGCCCCGGGCUCAACCUGGGAACGGCAUCCGGAACUGUCAGGCUAGAGUGCAGGAGAGGAAGGUAGAAUUCCCGGUGUAGCGGUGAAAUGCGUAGAGAUCGGGAGGAAUACCAGUGGCGAAGGCGGCCUUCUGGACUGACACUGACGCUGAGGUGCGAAAGCGUGGGUAGCAAACAGGAUUAGAUACCCCUGUAGUC
rnacentral:rRNA from 1 species